UGAGCCCAUUGAUGAGUACUGUGUCCA
rnacentral:piRNA from 1 species